GAUGAACGCUAGCGGGAGGCCUAACACAUGCAAGCCGAGCGGUAUUGUUUCUUCGGAAAUGAGAGAGCGGCGUACGGGUGCGUAACACGUGUGCAACCUGCCUUUAUCUGGGGGAUAGCCCUUCGAAAUGAAGAUUAAUACUCCAUAAUAUAUUGAACGGCAUCGUUUAAUAUUGAAAGCUCCGGCGGAUAGAGAUGGGCACGCGCAAGAUUAGCUAGUUGGUGAGGUAACGGCUCACCAAGGCGAUGAUCUUUAGGGGGCCUGAGAGGGUGAUCCCCCACACUGGUACUGAGACACGGACCAGACUCCUACGGGAGGCAGCAGUGAGGAAUAUUGGUCAAUGGGUGCAAGCCUGAACCAGCCAUCCCGCGUGAAGGACGACUGCCCUAUGGGUUGUAAACUUCUUUUGUAUAGGGAUAAACCUACCCUCGUGAGGGUAGCUGAAGGUACUAUACGAAUAAGCACCGGCUAACUCCGUG
rnacentral:rRNA from 1 species